AACAAUCCCUCUCUCAUCCUAAGAUAGCUUAUUCCAUCUCAAAGACAAUAACCAUGUGUCUCCAUUUUCUUCCCUCAACUGUCUGAAACUCAUAGUUUUAUCUCUCAUUCUCAAAUUCUUCCCUUCAUUCCAGUAGAUCCAACCAAAACCAGAACACCCUAUACUUUUCAAUCCAUUAUAUUAUUCCUCAAAAGACCCCCUUCACCACCAAUAUCCGAGUUGCAUACAUAUCCAACUCUCACACACAUAUAGAAAAGAAACUCUCACUCUUUCCUAAACAAUCAAAAAUGGUUUCUUCAUUGGAGCGUGUAGAUCUAGACGACAACCUAAUAAAGGUGAUAAUAAUCAGCAUGAUCCGUUCUGGACGAUUCACUGAGUCCCACCUCUAUGAGAAGUUUACGAACCAA
rnacentral:lncRNA from 1 species